rnacentral:rRNA from 1 species
AGAGUUUGAUCAUGGCUCAGGACGAACGCUGGCGGCGUGCUUAACACAUGCAAGUGGAGCGACGAACCAGGGCUUGCCCUGGGGCAAAGCCGCGAACGGGUGAGUAACACGUGGGCAACCUGCCCUGAUGAUUGGGACAACCCGAGGAAACUCGGGCUAAUACCAAAUGUGCUUUCCGGUCAUAAGGCCGGUUCGGAAAGGUAGCUUCGGCUUCCGCAUCAGGAUGGGCCCGCGGCCCAUUAGCUUGUUGGUGGGGUAACGGCCUACCAAGGCGACGAUGGGUAGCUGGUCUGAGAGGACGAUCAGCCACACUGGGACUGAGACACGGCCCAGACUCCUACGGGAGGCAGCAGUGGGGAAUCUUGCGCAAUGCGCGAAAGCGUGACGCAGCAACGCCGCGUGGGGGAAGACGGCCUUCGGGUUGUAAACCCCUUUCAGUUGGGACGAAGCUUCGGCGGUGAAUAGCCGUUCGGAGUGACGGUACCUUCAGAAGAAGCCCCGGCUAACUACGUGCCAGCAGCCGCGGUAAUACGUAGGGGGCAAGCGUUGUCCGGAAUUAUUGGGCGUAAAGCGCGUGUAGGCGGUUCGGUAAGUCCGCUGUGAAAGUCCAGGGCUCAACCCUGGAAUGCCGGUGGAAACUGUCGAGCUAGAGUCCGGAAGAGGCGAGUGGAAUUCCUGGUGUAGCGGUGAAAUGCGCAGAUAUCAGGAGGAACACCAAUGGCGAAGGCAGCUCGCUGGGACGGUACUGACGCUGAGACGCGAAAGCGUGGGGAGCAAACAGGAUUAGAUACCCUAGUAGUCC